rnacentral:rRNA from 1 species
UAAGGAAUAUUGCGUAAUGGGCGAAAGCCUGACGCAGCGACGCCGCGUGGGGGAUGAAGGUCUUCGGAUUGUAAACCCCUUUCGGGAGGGAAGAUGGAAUGGGGUAACCCAUUCGGACGGUACCUCCAGAAGCAGCCACGGCUAACUACGUGCCAGCAGCCGCGGUAAUACGUAGGGACCAAGCGUUGUUCGGAUUUACUGGGCGUAAAGGGCGCGUAGGCGGCAAUUCAAGUCAUCUGUGAAAUCUCCGGGCUUAACUCGGAACGGUCAGAUGAUACUGCUUUGCUAGAGUGCAGAAGGGGCAAUCGGAAUUCUUGGUGUAGCGGUGAAAUGCGUAGAUAUCAAGAGGAACACCUGAGGUGAAGACGGGUUGCUGGGCUGACACUGACGCUGAGGCGCGAAAGCCAGGGGAGCAAACGGGAUUAGAUACCCAGGUAGUCCCUGAGCGGGCUGGCAAGGCGCAU